rnacentral:lncRNA from 1 species
AGCACCACUACUAUAAUUUGUUCUCAAGAUAAUCAAAAUCAUAUGUGAAGCUAGGCAUGAUGGCAUAUCCGCCCCGCGCCCCCCCCCCCACCAGCCCUGGAAAGCAGAAGCAGGGGAUCAUACCAUGUUCAAUGCUAUAAUCUGGUCUACACAGAACUAGAGAACGCUAACCUGAGAUACUGCACACAAUCGUUCAUUUUGUUCAGAUAUUCGACUUUGGCUUAUGGAUUUAUUCCCUCUACUGUACUGCACGUUUUCGUCAUCAAUUGAUCUCUCACCAUUUAUCAUUAUCUCCCUCUCCACCUUCCUCUACACUAUUUCUUAUAUAUGCAAAACACACAAUAAAUAAUGAAGAAUUAAAAUAAAAA